GCCUAGGGAGCGAGCCGGAGGUGAGCCCGGAGGCCAGGCCGCCCACAGGUCCAGGGCCUGUCCCAGUGCCCCUGGACCCCACGCCCUCACCUCUCCUUCACCCCUACCCCACCCACCUCCCUUCAGGCCCCUACAGCCCUGGGCACUGCGCCUGUGGGUCUAGCCCAGGCAGCCCGCCGGGCCCCGGGGCUCUCCAGGAGAAGGCGGGCUCAGCGGGGGUGUCGGGGGGACAUAGGGAGACAUAGACUCUAGCAAGAUGUCUCCCUUUCUCUGCUCGCCAUAACGAGAGACAGAUCCUCCUUUCCCUGCUCCGAGGACUCCAGCCGCUCACUCCCGGUCCAGCCCUGUAACCUGCUGCUAUUACUGACCAGAUGACUUCAUUAGUGACCGCCCUCCCCAGCCACAUCCGGAGUCCGGUUCAGGCCUGUGGUGCUCCCUGGUGGCUGGUGCCGUAACCCUGGCCCCCCCAGCUCCCCCAGGCUCUGGCCGGAGAGGCCUCUCCUGCCCUGCCAGUGUUCCCUGACUGCCCCAUUCCUCCAGCGCCUAGCCCUGGUCUGUACGUAAGUAUGAAGAGGGCCACCCCCACCUCUUUCUAGGAUUGGAGCCUGGGUCUCUCUGAGGAGUGAAGGAGAUGCCGGAACCCCUGCCAUACCCGUCCCCAGAUAUUGGGGUGAUCUCCCCUGUCCAUCCCUCACCUGCUCCCUGAAACAUUGCACCGGCAAUUCAAGAGCAAAGACUUCUAACGGCUCUCCAGUGUCUUUCGAGGCUGGCCCAGGGUAAAUGCUACCUGUAUCCACAGCCUCAUCCUCUCCUGCUCCUUUCUCAGGAGCAAGGGCCCCCCCCAAACUGGUUAUUGGCUCUUCUGCAAGCAGGCACGUGAGUUCCCCUCCUCUGGCUGACCGUACAUCUGCGAUCUUCCAGUACCAGGCGCAAGUCCUGUUCCCUCCACACGGCCUCCCUGACUGUCCUCCUGGCUCCUGAGCCCCCUGCUCUGUUCUCCUCUCGCACAUCCUGUACACACUCAUUUCUUGGCACUGGGAAAGAUGCUAUCAUUUUAUGUAUGUCUGUUCCUUCUCGGCUGGACUCGCAACAGGUUCCUGGGGACCCCGGAGAUUGUGGCGGAUGGAGUCGUCCCAGGGAAGGGCUACAUCCUAGAACCUGCUGCAGACCCACUGGAAUGUGUGUGAGGGACCAGAGUCCCCGUCUCCUUCACAAAUCUGCACUUGCCUCCACCUCAUACAAAAGGGCUCCUGGCAGUGAUGUUCCAACUACGGCCAAGUCUAAUUUACAGAAUUUCGUCUUACACUGAUUAUUCCCAGUCUGUACAGGGUCACGGACGUGGAAUGAUGGGCAAAGGGAAUGACAGAACGCACACCAGCUCCCGCCUGUCACCUGAGUUGACGGGCACCCUGCCCCCUCACCCUCCUCCACGCCCGUGACGAUGGAGGCGAAGUUGUCGUCCAGCAGGAUCAUGUCGGCGGCCUGCUUCGACACGUCGGAGCCCGAGAUGCCCAUGGCGAUGCCAAUGUCAGCCUUCUUCAGCGCGGGGGAGUCGUUCACGCCGUCCCCGGUCACCGCCACAAUGGCCCCCUGGACGAAGCACAGCCAGAGCAGGGGAGGAAGCCCGUCGAGGCCCCGCCCGGCCCACCCCGCCGGCCGGCCCUGCUUCGCUCACCUGCCUCUGACAGCCCUCCACGAUGAUGAGCUUCUGCUGCGGGGACGUCCGCGCAAACACGAUCUCCGUGUGGUUCUUGAGGAUCUCGUCCAGCUGCUCCGCCGUCAUGUCCUUCAGGUCGGAGCCGUGCACCACGCACGCCUUGGCUUCCCUGAGGGAAGGAGGUCAAGCCACUGCAGAGCGCUCAGAGUUCCCCAGAGGUCCUGGUGCCUCUGUCCAGCCUCCGCCAUACCCUCCUGUUUCUGCCUUCAGCCCGGCUCCUCGUUUGUCCCCGGCCACCCACUUUCCCCAGAUGGACAUGCUGCACCCCUCCCUGCCUCCAACCCUCUCCUCCUUUUGCUCUGCGUCCUUCCACCCACUUCCUCUGAAAACCCACUGACAUAGUCACUGGGUCAUUUUCCUAAUACAUUUUACUUUGCAAUAAGUAAACCCUACACAUCCUACCUACUACAGGAGCCUCCAGGAACUGUAGCGAGGGGGGUCGGGGUGGGGUGGUUGAGGAUGGAGGGGAAGCACUGCAGAUCUGAGUUCUUUAGGGGCCCCACCUGGUGUUGAUCUGGCUGAUAGGGACCUGGAGCUGCGCAGCCAUGUCCUCUGCUGUCUCGUUGCCUUCUGAUAUAAUGCCCACACCUUUGGCGAUGGCCUUGGCUGUGAUGGGGUGGUCCCCGGUCACCAUGAUAACCUGGGUUGGGAAGGGAAGGAAGGGGAGCAGAAUCAUCUUCAGGGGGUCCUGGACGCUUUGUCUUUCUCUCCAGGACCUAACGGAUCACUACCUUCAUUCAGAGGGCUAUUCGUAGUAGUCCCCAAGGACUUCCGCUAUGGUGGCUUCAUCCCCCGGGACUGGGUCAGGACCACCAGACCAUAACACAUAGAACAGUUUGGGUUCUAGAUUUCCCGGGCAUAAAUUGGGGAUUUGGGUGUAUUGCUAUAUUCCGAUUUUCACCGAAUUGUUCCAGAAGCUGUUCUGUUUCUGUAAGCUCAAAAGACAAACACCUACACAUAGACCAAAUGGUAAUAAAGGGACAUCUGGAAUAAUCCAUCUGCCUAGCAAAAUAUCUUCUAGGCCCGGGUGCGUUCUGACCCUCACUCUUCCUCUCCUUCCCCCCGUGGCCUCCCCUGGGUUCCAGCCCUUUUGCUGAUGCCCUGUCCCCUGGCUCCCCAAAGGUCAGGUCCUGGCUCCGGGCUGUCCUAGCAUUCUGUUCCUUCUGUGUGUCAGCACUCGUCCUGCUCCAGAUGGGGAGGGCUUGUCUCUGUCUGCUGGCCCGAGCGCUCUGCAAGAAUGGGCCGAGUCCAGGCUCCUCGUGAAGCUCUGCUCUUGCGCAAAGCCUAGCCCAUAGCCGCCGUUCCACAAACAGCCAUCAGAUGCAGGAAUGAAAGAAUGACGGCUUCUUGAGAGUCACGGCCCCAGGCUCCCGAGUGCCCUCCAGGCGCACGACUUUCCCUGGCUCCGAUGGAGGGAAAGGCAGCUGCGAGGCUGUGACUGAACUGUCCUGGGAAGGUCCUGGAAAGGUCCAUCUAUUUGCUUUCAGAGCAUGGAAACAAGGCUGUAGGGAGUGUUUCCCAGAGCCCGCCUCGUUGUGCGCUGGCCUGAGAGCAGCGUGAGUCCAAGCCCGGCUUCCUGGAGGGAGGUGGUGACGCAGAAGUCCGUGUGGCCACCAGAGACCAGCACGGCCACUGUACCCACAGCACGGACGGCGAGUGUCCCCAUCUCACCAACGCGGCCCCACGGGGUACCCGGGGAGGGUCUGGGAGGGGGCUGCAUGCGAGCUUACAAUGUUCCCGAUGUGACGCAGGCCGAGCCCUCCGUGCUGCCCUUCAGGCUCCCUGCGCCCGGACAGCCCCGCAGCGGCUCAUCCGUGGUGACCGGGGGGCCCAGAGGGCAGGUACGCCGUCAUCCUGAUGCCCCCCCCGCCCACCCCGAGCACCCUGGCUCAAAGGGGCCGUUCCGUAGUAGUUUCCGGCAGUCCCACCUCCAGGCCAGGCUGGAGAAAGAAAAACACAAAGUACCCCCUUCCCCACCCCCCCCCCGCCCCUACUGAGUCCCCAGGACGCAAUUUCGCAGCGCACAACAGACGUGCGGUCCUGCAGAGUGGCUCCCUCUGAGGUAAAGGACGUCUCCUGGUUUCUGGGAUUCGUCAGGGACUGAAGGACUCUCAUUUCCAACUUGUGGGUGCUGGCCGUACCUCCGCUGUUCCCACGUAGUCUCGCGAGCUGCCCUCUUGUUCCCUCGUCCCUUCUCUUCCCGUGUGGGGCCCAUCGGAGCGACGGAGUCCGGUGUUGGUGACACGGCCGUAGGUCUCACGGCCAGACUGCGGUUCUUGGAGGAGCCGGGUUCCGGGCGAGGCCCAAACACCUUCACGGCCCCCACAGCCUCAGUGAGUGGCAAAUAUAACGGAUACUUGUAUUCAUUUUUUUAAUUACAUUUAUUCCAAAGGCCCGAGCACGUGGUUCUACCUGGGAAGUACCAGCCCUGCGAUCACCUCCUUGUAAGAACUUUGCUGCCCUGUGACCCCAGGGCUCUCCGAUCAGCUCUGCAUCAAGGCCACUUUGGUGUUGGCCCUGGAAGGGUCUACCCUACGCGACAACCCGCCUAUGUCUAUCACAUUUGUCUUCCUCGAAGGAUGACAUCGUGUGUGUGUUUUACACUCCCCUAUAGGGAAAGGGGGCUGAUUCAGAAUUUCUCACCGAGUCUGCCAAACUUCUGCCAGCUUCGGGUCCAGAAGAAGUGAGAAAUGAUAAUGCGAACUGUAAGCCUAUGCCCAGAACACGGACUGGCCCAGAAAGCCCCCGGGCCUCCUGCUUCAGCAGCCAGCCUUGGACUCGCCUGCCUCGGGCGGUCACGACACGCAGGCUAACUCAGCCCUUCGGCCCCGUUCGGGCCUCCCCACCUUGGGGGCAAUUUCUUUAGCGAUUCCACGUCCGGCCACAGGAAGGAGAUCAGGAGAGUGAUGGUGUUCGUGCUUCACAGCAUAGCUCGGAAAAAAGCGCAUCUUCCUUCACCAGGGGAACAUAGCGUGUGACCUUGUCCCUGGAAUACUCUGCUCCCCCAGGAUCCUUUCGUCUUUUCUGUUCAGCAGCCCCUUUCCGGUCAAGUUCAGGGACCAUGUCGAUAGCUAACCUUUCAUUGUGGGGUAAGGGGGCUGGUACCAAUAGUUAGAAAAAAAGAAGAAAACAGGGGAGAAUCAUGAAGUCGAGAAGGAAUAUUGCACCACUGGAAAGGACUUGAGAAAUUAUUUAAACUGGGACAUUUUUGUUGACAUUAAUUAUGCGGACCAUACGUUCAGUGAACGUCAGGUGGGAAAACUGGGACCAAACAGGAAGUCGUAUUUCUGCUCAACACAAUGAAAUCCAGCUAGAGCAACCCAGCGGUGAAAUGAGCGGAGACCGAAAGGGGCGGGCUUCCCAGGACUAGAAAUAAUCGUCAUCUCCCAUGGAUUGUGCACAAGAUAUUCAGCAUUGGUGGAAAGGUUGGAUUUCUCUGGGCUUUGAAGUCCUUUCCAAUAAGAUUCUGUAGUUCUGAAUUCAUCUUCCUCUAGAAACCGAUGAUUAAUUAAAUUGACGCCUGGAGAUGUUCCGUGAUUUGGCCAAGUUCACUGGCCGGUACAGGCUAGACUAACUCACUGCUGGUGACAGAAUCUAAGUGCUUCCUGCACUGCAACUCAUGGAGAAGAAAGAGAAGGCACCAGAAAAUGUGGAUGGAGGAAGUCAAGGUCCUGUGGGAGCUAAGUGGUUGACACUUGAGAGAUUCACUAGCAAAAGAGAUACAAACGAUUUCACCCCCUGGGGCGGUGUGUCUGCCCAGAGGCCACCCUCCACCUUGGCUACUCACGGUG